rnacentral:rRNA from 1 species
UACGUAGGGUGCGAGCGUUAAUCGGAAUUACUGGGCGUAAAGUGUGCGCAGGCGGCCGCGCAAGUCGAGUGUGAAAGCCCCGAGCUUAACUUGGGAACUGCGCUCGAAACUACGUGGCUGGAGUGUGGCAGAGGAAGGUGGAAUUCCAGGUGUAGCGGUGAAAUGCGUAGAGAUCUGGAGGAACACCGAUGGCGAAGGCAGCCUCCUGGGCCAACACUGACGCUCAUGCACGAAAGCGUGGGGAGCAAACAGG